rnacentral:rRNA from 1 species
AGAGUUUGAUCCUGGCUCAGAUUGAACGCUGGCGGAAUGCUUUACACAUGCAAGUCGAGCGGCAGCGCGGGGGCAACCCUGGCGGCGAGCGGCGAACGGGUGAGUAAUACAUCGGAACGUACCCUAUCGUGGGGGAUAACGAAUCGAAAGAUUCGCUAAUACCGCAUACGACCUGAGGGUGAAAGCAGGGGAUCGCAAGACCUUGCGCGAUUGGAGCGGCUGAUGUCGGAUUAGCUAGUUGGUGAGGUAAAGGCUCACCAAGGCGACGAUCCGUAGCUGGUCUGAGAGGACGACCAGCCACACUGGGACUGAGACACGGCCCAGACUCCUACGGGAGGCAGCAGUGGGGAAUUUUGGACAAUGGGGGCAACCCUGAUCCAGCCAUUCCGCGUGAGUGAAGAAGGCCUUCGGGUUGUAAAGCUCUUUCGGCAGGAACGAAAAGGCGGGCUCUAACAUAGCCUGUCAAUGACGGUACCUGAAGAAGAAGCACCGGCUAACUACGUGCCAGCAGCCGCGGUAAUACGUAGGGUGCGAGCGUUAAUCGGAAUUACUGGGCGUAAAGCGUGCGCAGGCGGCUUUGUAAGACAGGUGUGAAAUCCCCGGGCUUAACCUGGGAACUGCGCUUGUGACUGCAAGGCUUGAGUGUGGCAGAGGGGGGUGGAAUUCCACGUGUAGCAGUGAAAUGCGUAGAGAUGUGGAGGAACACCGAUGGCGAAGGCAGCCCCCUGGGUCAACACUGACGCUCAUGCACGAAAGCGUGGGUAGCAAACAGGAUUAGAUACCCUGGUAGUCCACGCCCUAAACGAUGCCAACUAGGUGUUGGGGAAGGAGACUUCCUUAGUACCGUAGCUAACGCGUGAAGUUGGCCGCCUGGGGAGUACGGUCGCAAGAUUAAAACUCAAA